CAGGCUGUAAAGGAGAGGGGUGAGGCACAGUUAUCUGGGCAGGUGGGAGGGAGGAGGGGCUUGGGGGUUGCCCCCGACACUAGCAGGAUGUAGCACUGGUGCGAAGGAGAAGGAAUUUCUGAAGUUCAGGUUCUCACCUGUGGAAUGAAAGACCUGCAGUUGGUGGUGUGGGUUCUCCUGGGGCUGGGGGAAGGGAAGGGAGUCUCAGUAGAGCCCUUUUUUAUGCAGAACAGAGGCGAUUUAGAACCACUUGAAUAAUGCAGGGUUUGGAGUGCUACUCUUGAUAUUCCUUCCCUCUCACCCUGCAGGCUGGGGAGCAAUGACGACAAAGCCAGAGGUGGGACACAGACUGGAAGAAGUGUUUUAAAAGCACUGAAUUUUUCAGAAAAAUCCAUCAGAAGUCACUUUAAAAGUUUUGAUGGCUGUAAUGAAAGAACUUUUGGGUCUCAGCACCAUAAUCUGAAAUUUGAGGUUUUAGACUCAGCACUUUUUUGUUUUGUUUUGUUUGAGACGGAGUCGCUCUGUCCCCCAGGCUGGAGUGCAGUGGCACAAUCUCGGCUCACUGCAAGCUUCGCCUCCCAGGUUCACGCCAUUCUCCUGCCUCUGCCUCCCGAGUAGCUGGGACUACAGGCGCCCGCCACCAUGCCCGGCUAAUUUUUUCUAUUUUUAGUAGAGACCGGGUUUCACCAUGUUAGCCAGGAUGGUCUCGAUUUCCGGACCUUGUGAUCUGCCCGCCUCGGCCUCCCAAAGUGCUGGGAUUACAGGAGUGAGCCACCGCGCCCCGCCUAGACUCAGCACUUUUUAAAGAAGAGUGAUUCAUUACAUUAACUGAUACUACUUUGGAAUGUGCAAAAUCACCACUGCUUUAAAACUCGUAAUUUUUUCUAAGUGUUUCACAAGCAUUUGAAACAACUAAGUCGCGUAAAGUGUCUUAAUGUGUGUUACAGGAAAACCAACUAGCAAAUUUCUUAGCACUAGGAGACUUAAUUUUGGAGGUCAGGAACUUAGGAAUAGCUAGAUGAAUUCAAGCAAAAUGCAUUUAUUUAUUUAUUUAUUUGAAAUAUUUUCUUUUACUCUUCAGUCUAGCUUGCAAGCACUCCCAAUUAUUGACUUCUGUUCUUGAAAGAGCGGUUAAUAUUUCCUUCCCAUCAUAUACUUUUUAAUAAGACCAGCUAAACCUUGCCUGAGUGGUACAGUGAAGAGGCACUGGGAAUGAUCUAGGUUAAGUUCAACAACGACAAAAUGGUUGAGGAAAAAUGACUCAGAUCACAAAAAAAAUCUGAUCUCCCAGUUAAUGUUAUUGCUCUCAAUUAGCUUACAGAGACACCUUAAAUGUCUCAAAAGAUUCCGUCAGAAAUCUGGUGGCUCUCAAGCAUCCCCAAAGUGCUCCAAGGAGAGUAGUAUUUCUCCAGGCAGCGAGAACGGGAAAGAAAAACAUUACGGAGUAUCGUUCUGAAGUCCAGCGUAUGUUUUUGGACAUCGUGAGGAAUUGCUUGCCCUCCAUUCCGUUCAGGGAGGCCAGUUCCCCACUCCCGAGGUGCUGCUGCCCUUGAGGGAGUUCUCGGCUCUCCUGGGCCUCCCGGGAGGAGUCCAGCCCCAGCACCCGGCACAAGUGUGAGUGCCUGGACUUCUCGGAGAAGUUCCUAUCCCCAGGAGUGAUUUGCAGAACCAGAGACUCCCUUUUCAGGCUUGGGCAAAGCAGACGCCUCCUGCUCCGCAUCGGCUCACACGCGGCCGGGCCCACGAGCCUCCUCCAACCGCCGCCCCGGGCCUCGGGGCUGCCGCUCCCCUCAGCGUCGGCUCUGCCCCCAGAAGCGAAGGCCGCCCUGCGCCCGCUCCCAGCCUUUCCCUGCCCUCUGGCCGGUCCUCCUCCCGCGGCCGUCCCGGGACAUGUGCCCAGACCCCUGGGGCCACGAUCACGCUCCAGCCGCCCAAGUCACCGCCCCUCCCCUCCCUUCCAGCGUUCCCGCCCGGGCGGUGUAUGGUGGCUCCGGUGUAUGGUGGCUCCAGUGUAUGCUGGUCCCGCCCGAGCGGUGUAUGGUGGUUCCCGCACGCACAGCCGCAGGGGUUUCCUCUCCUAGACUCGAGGCGGUGGCGCACCUGCACCCUCUAAAACUCCGCCGUCGGCCCUCGCGGUCUAGCGGGAAGCGCGGAGGGCGGAGCGAGGCGAUGGGAGAGCCGAGCUGGGGUGCGUGCGAGCGGGCGCCAGGAAAACGCGUGGCCGCCCUAGGGGCUGGGCCUUUCUUUAAACAGUGGGAGGCCCACGAAGCGUAUGAAGCCCGAGGCUCCCCUUUUUGUUUUAGUUCGCUCUCUUCUGGUAAGAGAAUAAGGGUCGGGCAAGAAUGGAGAGGGGACAGAAAAGGAAGGCAGGGCAACUGAAGAGGCAGAGUCGACGCAGAAGGUGAAGGGGGCCUGGACCAGGGCAGGGCAGUGAGGAGGAAGAGUGGAGAGGAGAGAUCCAGGAGGUGGAGCGGUCAAAACUGACGUGGGCCGAGACCCGUCUAAAAUCGUAGGAUGUCCCACAAGGACACUGGCCUUGACCUGUCUUUCCUGCUUUUCUCCGCCAGAGGCCCCCAAGGCAACGGUCCAGGGACCUUGCAGCUUGCCUGGGAGAUACACGUGCCCACCGCAGAGACUGAGCCCCUGCUUCACAACUUUAAAACCCAGCUCAAAAGUCACGCACUGUCCUCUCAGACACCUCCCCUGCUAUCCAAGUCUCAAAGGCCCUCCCUAUGCUCACUUUGGCUCCGGCCCUUACACAUCCCAUGGUGGUUUGUUCUCAUUCAUUUUCUUGG
rnacentral:lncRNA from 1 species